CACGUAGGAGGCAAACGUUAUUCGGAAUUACUGGGCUUAAAGGGUGCGUAGGCGGCUCUGCAAGUUGGGUGUGAAAUCCCUCGGCUCAACCGAGGAAUGGCGCCCAAAACUGUGGAGCUCGAGGGAGACAGAGGUGAGUGGAGCUUGUGGUGGAGCGGUGAAAUGCGUUGAUAUCACAAGGAACACCGGUGGCGAAAGCGGCUCACUGGGUCUCUUCUGACGCUGAGGCACGAAAGCUGGGGGAGCGAACGGGAUUAGAUACCCCUGUA
rnacentral:rRNA from 1 species